rnacentral:rRNA from 1 species
GACGAACGCUGGCGGCGUGCCUAAUACAUGCAAGUCGAACGGUCUUUUCUAUGGAAGCUUGCUUCCACUGAGGAGAUAGUGGCGAACGGGUGAGUAACACGUGGGUAACCCGCCCAUAAGAGGGGGAUAACAUCCGGAAACGGGUGCUAAUACCGCACAGGUUUCUUGAUCGCAUGAUCGAGAAAGGAAAGACGGCCUUUGUGCUGUCGCUUAGGGAUGGACCCGCGGCGUAUUAGUUAGUUGGUGAGGUAACGGCUCACCAAGACGAUGAAACGGAGCCGACCUGAGAGGGUGGUCGGCCACAUUGGGACUGAGACACGGCCCAAACUCCUACGGGAGGCAGCAGUAGGGAAUCUUCCGCAAUGGACGAAAGUCUGACGGAGCAACGCCGCGUGAGUGAAGAAGGUUUUCGGAUCGUAAGACUCUGUUGUCAGAGAAGAACAAGUCGGAGAGUAACUGCUCCGGCCUUGACGGUAUCUGACCAGAAAGCCACGGCUAACUACGUGCCAGCCGCCGCGGUAAGAC